rnacentral:rRNA from 1 species
GCAAGAUACCACGGGCGCACGGCGGAUGCCUUGGCACAGGGAGCCGAUGAAGGACGCGGCAAGCUGCGAUAAUCCCCGGCGAGGAGCACACAUCCUUCGACCCGGGGGUCUCCGAAUGGGCGAACCCAUCCACAGCAGUGUGGAUAUCCCCACCCCGAACACAUAAGGGUGGGGAGGACAACCCGGGGAACUGAAACAUCUAAGUACCCGGAGGAGAGGAAAUCAAUCUCGAGACUCCCCGAGUAGCGGCGAGCGAAAGGGGACCGAUGGCCAAACCGUCGAGCGGGCGUACCCGGCAGGGGUUCCGCCGGCGGGGUUGCAGGGCCGCGCAUCCGGGGGCUGCCGCCCCCGGGCGCAGGUCCGGCUGGGGAGCGGAACGGCAUGGGAGGGCCGGCCGCAGCGGGUGACAGCCCCGUACGCGAACCCAGACCGGACGGCGCGACGCGGUCCCUGAGUAGGGCCGGGCACGUGAAACCCGGUCCGAACCUGGGUGGACCACCAUCCAAGCCUGAGUACUACCCUGUGACCGAUAGCGCACCAGUACCGUGAGGGAAAGGUGAAAAGCACCCCGGGAGGGGAGUGAAACAGUACCUGAAACCGUGCGCCCACGAGCAGUCGGAGCACCUAUAUGGUGUGACGGCGUGCCUUUUGUAGAAUGAGCCAGCGAGUCGCUGGCGCGGGGCGAGGUUAACCGAAAGGGAGCCGGAGCGAAAGCGAGCCUUAACAGGGCGACUUGAGUCCCGCGCCGCGGACGCGAAGCCGGGUGAGCUAUCCGUGGGCAGGCUGAAGCGGGGGUAAGACCCCGUGGAGGGCCGAACGCACGUCGGUUGAAAACGGCGGCGAUGACCUGCGGAUAGGGGUGAAAGGCCAAUCAAACCCGGAGAUAUCUCGUUCUCCCCGAAAUAGCUUUAGGGCUAGCGUCGCGCGUUCACCGCCGGAGGUAGAGCACCGGAUGGACGAGGGGGCUUCGCCGCCUACCGAAUCCAACCGAACUCCGAAUGCCGGCGGCCCAGAGCGCGGCAGUCAGAGCAUGUGGGCUAAGCUGUGUGCUCGAGAGGGAAACAGCCCGGACCGCCCGCUAAGGUCCCCAAGUUCCAGCCGAGUGGCAAAGGAUGUGCGUCCGCCCAGACAACCAGGAUGUUGGCUUAGAAGCAGCCAUGCAUUCAAAGAGUGCGUAACAGCUCACUGGUCGAGUGGACAUGCGCCGACAAUACACGGGGCUAAGCUGGACACCGAAGCGGCGGGAUUUUAUCUAUAUAGAAUCGGUAGGGGAGCUUCCCAUGGGCGGGGAAGCCGCCGGGCGACCGGCGGUGGAGCGCAUGGGAGUGAGAAUGCUGGCAUGAGUAGCGAGAGACGAGAGAGUAACUCGUCCGCCGUGAACCCGAGGUUUCCUGGGCAAGGCUAAUCCUCCCAGGGUCAGUCGGGGGCUAAGGCGAGGCCGGGAGGCGUAGCCGACGCGCAGCAGGCAGACAUUCCUGCACCGCGCACGCGGCGCUACGACCGACGGGGCGACGGAUGGGGGUGGCUCGGCGGGGUUCUGGACGUCCCCGUGAUGGAGCGCGGCCCGCGGACCAGGGAAAUCCGGUCCGCACGAGGGCGAGGCUCCGGACGAAGCACUUAAGCGAAGCGAGUGAGCCCGAGGUCCCUAGAAAAACCCCUAGGCAGGCGCGUGCGCGCCCGUACCGCAAACCGACACAGGUGGGUGGGUAGAACAUACCGAGGCGAUCGGGUCAACCAUGGUCAAGGAACUCGGCACAAUGGCCCCGUAACUUCGGGAGAAGGGGUGCCCGCGCGUACGUGAACGGACUUGCUCCGGGAGCGGAGGCGGGCCGCAGUGGAGAGGCCCAAGCGACUGUUUACCAAAAACACAGGACUCUGCAGAAGCCGCAAGGCGACGUAUAGGGUCUGACGCCUGCCCGGUGCCGGAAGGUCACGCGGAGGAGUUAGCCGCAAGGCGAAGCCCCGAAGCCAAGCCCCGGUAAACGGCGGCCGUAACUAUAACGGUCCUAAGGUAGCGAAAUUCCUUGUCGGGUAAGUUCCGACCUGC